AGUUCCACAAACACAACUCGCGGAACAUCGACUCUCCUUCUCUGGGAAAGAAAUCCAGCAGAAUGUAAGGACUGGCUUUCUGAACUCUCGAGAAGUGAUCCAUGCAGAACGUGGAUCGAAGCUGCUGUCAUCCUGGGAAGGAGCAGGUGGAGUCUCAGGAGGAAGACAAAGGAGAAGGAACGCCUGCCAUCGUCCCUUUCAGCUGGGAAAUGGAGGCAACUUCAGAAAGAUCUCCCAGAUCUUCAAAGUGUGAAGAAAAGUCUGAUGAGUGAUCACAGUAUGUGGAAUCAGAAGAACCAGGGUCGCAGUCCUGAUUCUAUCUAGACUGUUUCAGCUUCUUGCUCCUGGUGACCUUCAUGACAUGAAGCAAAACAUCACAUCCAUGCUGGGUACCGUGGUGGCCAGGAGGCCCCUGCAUGAUUUGAUAUGUGCCUCCUCUGGAUUUUUGUUGGCUGCCUAAGAGAGAUUGAUCCCUGAAGAAGAAAAAGAGAAUCAGUAUGCCUUCGUGGCUCUGUGGAUUAAGGAUCUGACAUUGUCACUGCUGUGGCUCUGGUUACAGCUGUGGCAUAGGUUCGAUACCUGCAGAACUUCCACAUGCCACAGGCAUGGCCAAAAAAACCUCAGAUCUGGAAGAACAAAGCUGGAGGUAUCAUGCUCCCUGAUUUCAGACUAUAGUACAAAGCUAUACUAAAUCAUCAGUUUGGUAUUAGCAUAAAAACAAAUACUAGAUCAGUGGAACAGAAUAGAGAGCCGAGAAAUAAACCCACAUGUAUGUGGUCAAUUAACUUAUGAUAAAGGAACCAAAACAUACUAUAUGAAAAGGACACUCUCUUUAGUCAAUGGUGUUGGGAAAACUGGACAGAUAUGCGAAAGAAGAAACUAUUGUCUUACACUAUACACAAAAAAUUAACUCAAAGUGGCUUAAAGGGAAUUCCCGUUGUGGUACAGUGGAAUCGAACCCAACUAGUAUCCAUGAGGAUGCAGGUUUGAUCCCUGGCCUUGUUCGGUGGGUUAAGGAUCUGGCAUUGCCAUGAGCUGUGGUAUAGGUUGAAGACAUGGCUCUGAUCCUAUGUUGCUGUGGCUGGCAAUUGUAGCUCUGAUUCGACCCUUAGCCUGGGAACUUCCAUAUGGCAGGUGUGGCCCUAAAAAGCAAAAAAAAAAAAAAAAAGAAAAGUGGCUUAAAGACUUGAAUGUAAGGCCUGAAGCCAUAAAAUUCCUUGAAGAAAAUAUAGGCAAUAAGCUCCUUAGUCUUGGCAUUGAAUUUUUUUCUUUUUUGUCUUUUUGCCAUUUCUUGGGCCACUCCUGCGGCAUAUGGAGGUUCCCAGGCUAGGGAUCUAAUUGGAGCUAUAGCUGCCAGCCUACGCCAGAGCCACAGCAACUUGGGAUCUGAGCUGCAUCUGCAACUUAUACCACAGCUCACAGCAACAAUGGAUCAUUAACCCACUGAGCAAGGCCAGGGAUCGAACCCGCAAACCUCAUGGUUCCUAGUCGGAUUCGCUAACCACUGCGCCACGAUGGGAACUCUGGCAUUGAAUUUUUUGAUCUGGCACCCAAAGCAAAGGCAGCAAAAGCAGAAAUAAACAAGUGGGAUUGCAUCCAACUAAAAAGCUUCUGCACAGCAAAGGAAACCAUCAACAAAAUGAAAAGGCAGCUUAUGAGAUGGGAGAAAAUAUUUGCAAAUCACAUAUCUGAUAAAAGGUGAAUAUGAUAUCCAAACUAUAUAAAGAACUCAGACAAUAGCAAAAAACAAAAAAAUGAUUAAAAGUGAGCAGAAGACAUAAAUAGACAUUUUCCACAGAAGACAUAGAGAUGACCAGCAGGCACAGAGAAAAUAUUUAACAUCACCAAUUAUCAGGGAAAUGCAACUCAAAACCACGAGAUAGCACCUCGCACCUGUUAGAAUGGCUACUCUCAAAGAGACAAGAAAUAGCA
rnacentral:lncRNA from 1 species